rnacentral:misc_RNA from 1 species
UUAAGUUCAGCGGGUAUCCCUACCUGAUCCGAGGUCAACCUGGAAAAAAGUUUGGUUGAUCGGCAGGCGCCGGCCAGUCCUACAAAGCGGGUGACAAAGCCCCAUACGCUUGAGGACCGGACGCGGUGCCGCCGCUGCCUUUCGGGCCGUCCCCCGGAAGGAGGACGGAGCCCAACACACAAGCCGUGCUUGAGGGCAGC